GACGAACCGUGCGAACGUUGUUCGGAAUCACUGGGUUUAAAGGGCGCGUAGGCGGGCUGUCAAGUCGGUGGUGAAAUCGUUCCGCUCAACGGGACAAUGGCCUCGAUACUGGCGGCCUGGAGGGAGGUAGGGGCAUGCGGAACUUCCGGUGGAGCGGUGAAAUGCGUAGAUAUCGUCUGGAACGCCGAAGGUGAAAACAGCUCGCUGGGGCCGCGCUGACGCUGAGACACGAAGCCAGGGGAGCGAAACGGG
rnacentral:rRNA from 1 species